AAUAUGGGGGUGUAAGAAUAUGGAAUCUUUGACAGAUUCAGAACAACAUGGACGUGAUUUAGUGACCUUGAGAAUUACCAUCAGCAAUUGCCGUAAUUUUGUAUCUUUUCCGAAAGGAGGAAUCCGUGCCCCACAACUUUCAUAUUUUUAUGUCUCUAAUUGUCCAAAUCUGAGGUCAUUGCCAGAGAAGAUGCAUACACUCCUGCCUUCUCUUUCGAUUAUUUAUAUAAUCGAUUGUCCAAGAGUUGAGUCGUUUCCCGAAGGAGGCUUUCCUUCCAACCUGAGAACUAUUGCAGUCGAGAAUUGUGAAAAACUCUUUGCCGGUCGGAUGGGAUGGAAUUUGCAAAAACUCCCAUCUCUUAGAAAUUUGCAAAUCGAGGACAAAUCUGAAGAUGUGGUGUCCUUUCCAGAGCCAGGGUUGCUGCCUUCUUUUCUGACUUAUCUUUGUAUCCGUCAAUUUCCAAAUAUGAAAUCUUUGGACAAGAGAGGGCUUCAACACCUCACCUCUCUUCAACAAUUGGUUGUCUGGUGCUGCCCUAAGCUCGAGCACGUGCCAAAAGAAGGGUUGCCAACCUCCCUUUCUAUAAUAGAGAUCCAACGAUGCCCUUUGUUGAGGAAACGGUGGCAAAGCAAGAAAGGAAAAGAACGGCGAAACAUUCCUGACGUCGAUCACAUAUUGAUUGAUUUCGAAGAAUUAAUUGAAUGAGUCAAAAGCCUCGGAAGAGUCCCAUUUCCUGACCUCGAAGGCGGCAACAACAUAUUCAGGGGAUCAAAGAGCUUGGGUCACAAUUACAAGAAGCAAAUAUAAUCUAUGAUCCUGCGAGGCAUGAACGCUUGAAGAAUACAGGAGAUGGAAGAGCUUUGUUAUGAAUACACAAAGCAGAGGCUAGCUUGCACAUACACGUAAAAUGAUGAAUGGGUUUUUGAGUUAAAGAAAAAACUGGAAGCCUCCUUUAGUGUUUGCAAUGGAAAUCUGAUCUCGCUUGUCAGCUAGGGACCUUUUGAGGUUCAAGUGCGUCUCCAAGAUGUGGAAGCUUACCCUAUAUCAGAAUCAUCCUCCUUACAUAAUAUUCACCAUCAAGCUCAUGAGGCAUCUCAGCCCUCCUUGUUCAGCAAAGGAGUAACGAUAGUGGAAUGGAAUGUUUCUUUUUUGAAAUUGUACCCGAAGAUCUGAGAUAUCUUCAUCUGCAAUCCAAAUACCUGGCAAUGGAUGCUGCUGAGGCCCACUAAUUGUUGUUGGUGACAUAUUUGGAUUGGCAUUCUGGCCAUUUGUUUCUUUGUCAAAGUUGGCCCCAUGUUUUAAGGUGGUGAACAUUCAACAUUCAAACUUUGACCAAAAUUCUCAUUGGAGACAUGAAAAUAGAAAACUUCCCUUGAAGCUUACGAAGGCCAUGAGGGAUUUUGUUGGUAAGAAAGGUCUUCAACGCCUCCGAUCUCUUGAAGAAUUGUGGAUCAAAGACUGUCCUAAGCACAAGUACAUGCCAGAAGAGGGGUUGCCUACGUCCCAUUCUAUUAUAGGGAUCAACAGAUGCCCUUUGUUGAUGAAGCAAUGGCGCAAAGUAAGAAAGGAAAAGAACAGCGAAAGAUUCUUGACGUCGGUCACAUUUUGUUGAUUCUAAAGAGAGGAGCAGGUAUAUGAUCAGAAGCUUAUUCUGAGAAACAAGUUCAAUUGAAUCCAAGGUUUAAAAAGUUAUGAUCAUGUAAAAAUCCUUUACAUCCCUGUAGCGUCUGGAUAGUUUGGCAUCAAAUUGUUGUAACUCAAAUGGUAUUACAACUCAUGCUUCUUCUUGAAUAUUCAUUGCCUUUCAAAUUCCUUCUCUUUUUUCUUUUUGCUUUUGCUUUUGUGUGUUUAUUUUGAUAUUCAAUCACUAUUAUGUAUUUCUUUUCUUUGUCAGGAACUUUG